AUUGAACGCUGGCGGCAGGCUUAACACAUGCAAGUCGAGCGGAGAUGAGGUGCUUGCACCUUAUCUUAGCGGCGGACGGGUGAGUAAUGCCUAGGAAUCUGCCUAUUAGUGGGGGACAACAUUCCGAAAGGAAUGCUAAUACCGCAUACGUCCUACGGGAGAAAGCAGGGGAUCUUCGGACCUUGCGCUAAUAGAUGAGCCUAAGUCGGAUUAGCUAGUUGGUGGGGUAAAGGCCUACCAAGGCGACGAUCUGUAGCGGGUCUGAGAGGAUGAUGCGCCACACGGGGGCUGGGACACGGCCCAGAGUCCUACGGGGGGCAGCAGUGGGGAAUAUUGGACAAUGGGGGGAACCCUGUUCCAGCCAUGCCGCGGGUGUGAAGAAGGCCUUAUGGUUGUAAAGCACUUUAAGCGAGGAGGAGGCUACUGAGACUAAUACUCUUGGAUAGUGGACGUUACUCGCAGAAUAAGCACCGGCUAACUCUGUGCCAGCAGCCGCCGUAAAAC
rnacentral:rRNA from 1 species